GACGUAGGGCGCGAGCGUUGUCCGGAUUUAUUGGGCGUAAAGAGCUCGUAGGCGGCUUGUCGCGUCGAAUGUGAAAACUCGGGGCUCAACCCCGCGCUUGCAUUCGAUACGGGCAGGCUCGAGUUCGGUAGGGGAGACUGGAAUUCCUGGGUGUAGCGGUGAAAUGCGCAGAUAUCAGGAGGAACACCGAUGGCGAAGGCGGGUCUCUGGGCCGAUACUGACGCUGAGGAGCGAAAGCGUGGGGAUCAAACAGG
rnacentral:rRNA from 1 species